UGGGGUUUAUUAUUAUUAUUUAUUCCCCCAUUUUACCCCGCGGUUCACGAAGCUUCUGGUGCCGGCUUAGGGAUUUAAUUUUUUUGGGGAGGACGGGGGGGGUCCCUCAGGGUCUGGCUCAGCAGACCCAGGGGUGGGUGAAGGGCAUCAGGGCCCGAGCCCGUCUCCCAAGAGGUUUAUGUAACCUUCCAGGUUUGGUCAGGCUUUAUUACUUUUUAUUUUUCCCCUUCUUCCUUCAUAGAUCUGUUUAUAUUUUUCCUCCUUGUUUUUAUUCCUGGCCCUUUACGGGGCGGUGAAUCCCUUUUUUCUCUCUGUCUGGAGAGUGGGUGGCGUUGAAAAAUACCAUUGGGAAUUCGGUUCUGGGAUUGUUUUAUUAAUAGUUUUUGUUUACAAGGUGGCGGUGUGAGCCGGGAAAGGGUAGGAAUGACAAGAGUGGAUGAAAUGUUUCUCGGAUCUAUCGCCUGAACGUGCCCGACCUCCCUCAGCAGAACUCGGGGCUGGUGGCUCUGCCGUGCUGGUGUCGAGGGGUCGAGAAACGGGUCUGAUUUAGUUCCCAGAGAGAGAUAAACAAACUUAUCUGGAUUUGGUGGUGUUUUUUUGGAAGGGGUGGGGGGAGGGAGGAGCAGCAGCAGCGCUCCUGUUUGUGGCUUAUCGAAGGAAACUUGUGUCUGACGUUUCGCGCAGCGCCUUUCUCCCCACAAAAGCUGCUCUCGGUGUAUUUUUCGCCCUGUUUUUAAGCAAAUAGGAAAUGAGUCCUGAUGGUGCUCGAAUCGGAGCUAUUUUUAUCCGGGGGUUUAAAGUUACACACAUGUCAGACUCCGCCAAUUGCGAUCGAUGCUUAAUCGCACCGGGAGGAGGGUCGGGAAUUCCAGCUGUUUAGUGAGGGAGGGGGAAAACCUUUCUUAGGGAUACCCUGGAAAGAGCUGUGGGCCAGAGAGGGGCCGAGGCCCAACCUGAUCGGCUGCUGCUCUGUUUCCUUUUCCCCUCCCCCUCUCUUUUCCUUUUUUUCUUUUUUUUUUUUCUCCCCUUUUUUUGUUCGGUUCCUUGCCGGCUUCUCCAGCGAUCGCAGCAUUUUUUUGGAGGACAAAGAGCAGGUUUUCCCUGCGAAGUGGCUUUGCUGUGUGUUUCUAGGAGCUGGGCUGUGUCGGUGUUGAAUUGAGGGAAGCAGUGGAAAUAAGGAAGCUGAAUGAUCAGUGCUUUGUUUGACAUCGUUGGUAACUUAAUACUCCUGGCUCAGGGGGAGGAAUCCGUGCCUGGAGAUUGGAGAAAGCUCAGAUCCCAACAGGAGAAUGUGCUUUGAGAAGGGCUUGGUUGAAAAUUUGGGAUGUCAGAAAUCAGAUCCCGGUAAGUCAAGAGCCAGAGCCUGUGUGUUCCUUGAAAGGGAAGGUAUGUGAGGAGGUGUUAACUCACCCUGCUCUCACUGGAGCUGCUUUUUUAAACUCCUCUAAAGCUCCAGGGUCUCGGAUUUAAACUGAUUUUUGUCAGCUGCACCUUGCUCAGAAUCCACCGGUUUUAUCCCUUCGUGGUUUGUUUAGCCAUAAAAAAAUCAUUUUAGACUCUGGCCUGCUUUGGAGCAAAAAAUUCCCCAGAAAAUAACCUGAAAACUGGGAAGAGGAGGCAAAACCAGCGUGUUUUGUACAUGGAGAAAACCCAGAGCCCGAGUUUGGCAGGACUGAGGAAAUAUUCCCACUUGGUUUUAGCAAAUCAGUGAAACUCUGAACCCUGCUUGGGUCACUGCUGGAACUAAAAUCGAGACUUGAGCCUUGCCAGAUGAAAUUAAAGAUCCCCUAAAAUUGAGCUGAUGAGCAAUAGUGCCCCUAAUGGAUCCUUUUCAUCCCCUAUUUUGUGUUUGAGGGUUUGCCACAGCUUUGUUUUUCCUGUGAAAUCAGGAAAUUUGUUGACCCUGUGUUUAAACCAGGUGCCCAUGCUGGUGCUAAAGUGAAUUUUAGACAUUUUGGGAGUAGUUUGGGGAGGAGAAGGGUGUGUUUGGCUCUUCUGGUGUGUCCCAGAUGCUGCUCUCCCUGACCUGCAUCAUAAUUCCUGCAGCUCCUGUGCUCCCAAGCUUUUUAAAUGUCAGUUCUCUGGGAAAAAAAAAAUCAGAAUUUUUCCUCAUUUCAGCAGGAUUUCUUGAAAAAUACUGAGGGGUAACAAAAGAUUUGCUGGUUUCACCUGUUUAAAUGUAGCAAGAAAUGGGUUUGUGGGGUUUGUGCAGGGAUUCUGGUGCUGCUGCUGCCUCUUCUCAACUCUGCAUUUGGUUCUGGGGCUUUUUUCCCUGUCAGUUUUUCUUGGAUAAGUGGGAAUUGUGUGUGAGAAAAGUUUAUAACACAACAAACGUGGUCUAUGGAAAAUGUGGGAAUCAGAUGAUCUUUAAUGGUCCCUUCCACCCCAAAAUUCCACAAUAACUGGCUGCUCAGAGUCUGAACCAGCAUCUCUGUCUCGUUAGAGGCAAAUAUUGUGCUGAUAAACGUUGAAUUUGCUGUAAUUUGUUUCUUUUUGGACUUUUAUCUUUUUGCAGGGGCUUCCUGCUCAGUUUGGCUGAGAUGUAACAGAGUUCUGCAGGUUCAGGAGAUGCGUUAAUGAGGUUUUUUUAAAGAGUUUUGGAAUUUUUUUUAGCUUCUCAGUAGCCACUGAGCUCUUUAAAUUGUCCUCUGUGGCUCUUGGUGCCUUCCAGAGUCACAGAUUUCUCUGUAGCCACCCCAAAUUCGGUGCCAUUCUGGCAUUUCAGGAUAUUCUGUGUUUCUCUUGCCAGUUUUCUCCAGACUUGGGAGGUGAAACCUGGGAUAGCUGAACUCCACAAUCCUCUUUAAUAAUCCAGAUUUUAUUUCCAGGGGCAGCUGGGAAUCUGCUGCUGAGCAUCCCAGCAAAAAGUAGACGGGGCUUUGAUAUUCUUUUACAAAAGUGCUUCAAACAGCAAAAUAAACCCUGAAAGAGGGUGGAGAACAUUCCCCUAAUUCUCUCAGGAGAUAGGGUGGAUCAGAAGCAGGAUCCACUUGGCUCAGGCCUGUCCUGUGGGUCCAAAUUUCCCAUUUUGGGUCUCCUGGAGCCUCCCAGGAGGCAGCAGGACUUUGCCACGUGCACAUCUUUCUCUCAGGCGUCACAGAAACCCACAUCAGCUGCUUUUUAGGUCAUUACCAGACUGAACUAAAUAUAGCCUGUGAGCCAGAAGUGGGAGGUUUUGUAUCCAAAUUCCUGCCCCAUCCCUAUUUCUGGAGCAUCUGUGCCCCACAGCCUCUGCUGGAAUUCCCAUUUCCUUUUAAUCCCAGCGGGCAGGGACGAGGCUGAGCUUGGCUUGGGAAGUUCCUGGAAUUGCAGGGAA